GCCAGCAUCCUAGCCGAAGCGCGGACCUCAGUCCCGGCUGGCCGUAUUACACCCUGGGCUAUAACACCUCCACCGAAGUGGAGGCCACAUUCCCAGAGCCUUUAUCCGGCCGCCGAAACUGAUGCUGGCCUGUCCAAACUGAGUAAACCGGUCAGAAGACCGGCCGAACAGUUUAAACAAGUCUGAUUGCAAGCGCUUCCCUUUCAACAAUUUCACGUGCUUUUUAACUCUCUUUCCAAAGUGCUUUUCAUCUUUCGAUCACUCUACUUGUGCGCUAUCGGUCUCUCGCCAAUAUUUAGCUUUAGAAGAAAUUUACCUCCCAUUUAGAGCUGCAUUCCCAAACAACUCGACUCGUCGAAGGAGAUUUACAUAGGGUGCCAUUUCCUGUCACAUACGGGAUUCUCACCCUCUAUGACGUCCUGUUCCAAGGAACUUAGACAGGCGGCUUCCCCAAAUCAUCCUCUACAAAUUACAAUGCGAACCCGAAGGCUAGCUUUCAAAUUUGAGCUGUUGCCGCUUCACUCGCCGUUACUAGGGCAAUCCCU
rnacentral:rRNA from 1 species